rnacentral:lncRNA from 1 species
AUUUGAUUAUAUGAAUAGAUAAUCGUAUUAAUCCAAGUCCAGAGAAAAUAUCUUUUCUCUCUCUAUUCCUAGCCUCCAAAUUUCCUUUUCGAUUUGAAAUCCUGCUCAUCUAAAAGGAGAAACAAACAAUAUAUAUAUGCAUCCAAAUGAAACUUUCUAAAACCCACCAUGUUCAUGCAAACUGUAGGUAAGAUUAUGCUACAAGACUUAUUAAAUUUUCCAAUCACCAUUUAACCAUCAGUCUUACCUAUUAGCAAAAAAACUUAUGCUUUCGUUUUAUUUACAAUCUUUUGUACUUCUAAGCAGCAAAUGGCAAAAACCAGACAUCUAAUAAGUGCUCAGAAAAUAUGCUGUAUGGCAUGUGCAUAAUCACAGAAGUAUGAUGAAAUCUUAACUUCACAAAUGUCUUCAUGCAAUGUGAUCGCACAAUCUACAUUGGCAAAAAAAUCUGUUGGAGGAGUGCACUGAAAAGCUGAAUCUGAACAUGGCUGCACGAUGAGUGUUCUUGGCAGACGGCACUGAAGCACUAGAACCUAAAGACAUACCCCACGAUGCCGACGUUUAUAUUUCAGCUGGAGAGACCUUUUUAGAUCCAUUCAAAAAAUCAAAGGACGAGGCUGCGAGCAGGGCCGCGGCUGAGGACCGGAUCCAGCCAGCCUGGCGGGUGGGGCUACAGCGCGCCACUAAAGGGAAGGUGUCUGAGAAGGAGCUUGGAUUGGUUGGAAGCUUCUGGAACACGCGAGGCGCGGCAGAACUGAAAGCUUCUCUUCUGGCCUGCCUCCAAAGAUGAUGAGAAUUUCUUCAAGAGUACGUACCGAAAUUUUGGUCUGAAAAAGAAAGGAUGAUAUGCAGUAACAGCAAUUUGUAAAUAUAUGCCGAAAUGUGUGUCUCGAUCACUGAUGAUGAUGCUUAUCUGUUUGGUAAGUAGAUCUCAAAACACAGGUCAAAGAUCUCAAAUUUAUACAACAUAGAUUUGUUGUAAGCUAUAGAAGUCUGUUCUGAAAGCAUCUUGAAUCAAAGUAGAAAUGGAUACAUUUGUUAGUACUUUAUUUAGAAAACAGCUUAAAAAUAUACUGAAAGGUGGAAUGCUAAAACCCCUUGGUCAUUGAGGGAGAUGCCAGUAAAACCUAUGUCAUAUUUCAUUUUAAAGGUUUCUGGCAAUUUAUUAUUUUACUACAGACAAUUUAAAUUCUAACAUUACAGAUUCUUAGAGCCCUUUAUUGUUUUGGGUAUUUACUUUUAAAAUCCGUUAAUUUUAAAAGUUAAACGGUAUUCCGUUUUCUGAGCUAUUUUAGACCUCUUAUUGAUAUUUAAGUUUUCCUUUUAGCUAGUCAGUGGG